CAUUCUUUUUAUAGUUGUUAAUGCAUGUUCUAACAACCUCUGCCAGAAUGGAGGGGCUUGUAAUGCUGCACCUGGUUCUUGUACUGCUUAUACCUGCACCUGCAGUGGUUGCUUUAGCGGCUCUUUCUGUGAAACGGCUUUGAAUGCUUGUAGCAACAACAUUUGUCAGAAUGGAGCUACUUGUGUUGGUGCUCCCAAUUCCUGUACUGCUUACACUUGUACCUGUCCAUCGUGUUUCCAAGGAACUUUUUGUGAAACAGCUGUCAAUCCAUGCAGUGCUAACCUGUGUCAAAAUGGGGGUGUUUGUAACACUGUUCCUGGUUCCUGUGUCGCUUACACCUGUACCUGUCCAGGAUCUGUC